UACGUAGGGGGCAAGCGUUGUCCGGAUUUAUUGGGCGUAAAGAGCGUGUAGGCGGCCAUGUAGGUCCGUUGUGAAAACUCGAGGCUCAACCUCGAGACGCCGAUGGAAACCAUGUGGCUAGAGUCCGGAAGAGGAGAGUGGAAUUCCUGGUGUAGCGGUGAAAUGCGCAGAUAUCAGGAAGAACACCCGUGGCUAAGGCGGCUCUCUAGUACGGUACUGACGCUGAGGCACGAAGGCCAGGGGAGCAAACGGG
rnacentral:rRNA from 1 species